rnacentral:rRNA from 1 species
UAAGGAGGAUGCGAGCGUUAUCCGGAUUUACUGGGUGUAAAGGGUGAGUAGGCGGCAUGGUAAGCCAGAUGUGAAAGCCUUGGGCUUAACCCGAGGAUUGCAUUUGGAACUAUCAAGCUAGAGUACAGGAGAGGAAAGCGGAAUUCCUAGUGUAGCGGUGAAAUGCGUAGAUAUUAGGAGGAACACCAGUGGCGAAGGCGGCUUACUGGACGAUGACUGACGCUGAGGCUCGAAAGCGUGGGGAGCAAACAGG